GGAAGGAUCAUUGAAUCUAUCAAUACCAACACCGAGAACCAUUUCGUCUGGCCUCGUCCUCCGUUAAUUCGGAGGGCGGCACCCGGUAUCUUUGUUAAUUCGAAGGUCCGAGUGGGCCCUGGGUGAUUGAUCGUCUCCGGGCGAUUUUUUGCAAAGGGUCGGUCUCUGUCAACAACAACACCAAACCAAUCUAUUCUAAAUAUAUGUGCAAUCGGCAUUGCCGUUGCAUUUAACCAAGACAACUCUCAACAACGGAUAUCUUGGCUCUCGCAACGAUGAAGAACGCAGCGAAAUGCGAUACGUAGUGUGAAUUGCAGAAAACCGUGAACCAUCGAAUCUUUGAACGCAUAUUGCGCUCGAGGCUUCGGCCAAGAGCAUGUCUGCCUCAGCGUCGGGUUAAUACUCGCUCCUAUCAAUUCGUUGAUCAAGGGGCGGAACUGGUGGUCCCAGCUUUCACGAGCUGGGUCCGCUGAAGCUCAGAGGUUGAUGUAUGGACCCGCUAUGGGCCGCAACUGGGUAGGCAAUUCAUUGCUAAUUCUUAGUUGUUGGCUUGGGCCGUGCUUCAACCCCAACCAGGAAUAUUAACCAUUUUCUCGACCUGAGCUCAGGCAAGGUUACCCGCUGAACUUAAGCAUAUCAAUAAGCGGAGGAAAAGAAACUAACAAGGAUUCCCCUAGUAACGGCGAGUGAACCGGGAAUAGCCCAACUUGAAAAUCUCCCUCUGGAGAAUUGUAGUCUAUAGAAGCGCCCUCUGUAGCGGGUGGAGCCUAAGUUCGCUGGAAGGCGGCGUCAGAGAGGGUGAGAACCCCGUCGGCUCUAACUUUGCUGCCCCACGAGGUGCUUUCCACGAGUCGGGUUGUUUGAGAAUGCAGCCCAAAAUGGGAGGUAAAUCCCUUCUAAGGCUAAAUAUUGGCGAGAGACCGAUAGCGAACAAGUACCGUGAGGGAAAGAUGAAAAGAACUUUGAAAAGAGAGUUAAAAAGUGCUUGAAAUUGUUGAGGGGGAAGCGUUUGAAAGUCGUCGGUGCGCCUAGGCUGAUGCGUCCUUAACGGGCCGCUGUUUGUGCUAGGUGCUGGUCAGCAUGGGUUCGCCGGGCGGGAUAAAAGCUGGGGUUGAUACCCGGUCUAUGCCGCCUGGUUGACCAAGGAGUGAAUGGCGCCUAGUCCUUCGGGAACUGCGUCAUCAAGAUGCUGGCAGAAGGCUUUCAACCGGCCCGUCUUGAAACACGGACCAAGGAGUCUAACAUGUAUGCGAGUUGGUGGGUGGUAAACCCAUGAAGCGCAAGGAAACUGACUGGUGGGAUGGCCUGUGCCUGCACCAUCGACCGACCAUGAGCUUCUGCGAAAGGUUUGAGUGCGAGCAUACCUGUUGGGACCCGAAAGAUGGUGAACUAUGCCUGAGCAGGGCGAAGCCAGAGGAAACUCUGGUGGAGGCUCGUAGAUGUGCUGACGUGCAAAUCGCUUUUCGGACUUGGGUAUAGGGGCGAAAGACUAAUCGAACCAUCUAGUAGCUGGUUCCCUC
rnacentral:misc_RNA from 1 species